rnacentral:tRNA from 1 species
GGGGCGGGGAUGGUUCCAAGAGCUGGACUUCACACCCUAGGCCUUUGGGGUUCAAUUCCCCACCGCUCCACCA